UCGAUCUCAAAUCAGGCGGGACUACCCGCUGAACUUAAGCAUAUCAAUAAGCGGAGGAAAAGAAACUAACGAGGAUUCCCCUAGUAACUGCGAGUGAAGCGGGAAAAGCUCAAAUUUGAAAUCUGGCGGUCUUUGGCCGUCCGAGUUGUAGUCUGGAGAAGCGCUUUCCGCGCCGGACCGUGUACAAGUCCUCUGGAACGGGGCGUCGUAGAGGGUGAGAAUCCCGUCUUUGACAUGGACUACCGGUGCUCUGUGAUGCGCUCUCGAAGAGUCGAGUUGUUUGGGAAUGCAGCUCAAAACGGGUGGUGAAUUCCAUCUAAAGCUAAAUAUUGGCGAGAGACCGAUAGCGAACAAGUACCGUGAGGGAAAGAUGAAAAGAACUUUGGAAAGAGAGUUAAACAGUACGUGAAAUUGCUGAAAGGGAAACGCUUGAAGUCAGUCGCGUCAUCCAGGGAUCAACCUUGCUUUUGCUUGGUGCACUUUCUGGUUUGAUGGGUCAGCAUCAAUUUUGAUCAUUGGAAAAAGGUUUUAGGGAAUGUGGCAUCCUUGGAUGUGUUAUAGCCCUUGGUCAUAUACAAUGGUUGGGAUUGAGGAACUCAGCACGCCGCAAGGCCGGGUUUUUAACCACGUACGUGCUAGGAUGCUG
rnacentral:rRNA from 1 species